GUGAGGAAUAUUGCGCAAUGGAGGCAACUCUGACGCAGCCAUGCCGCGUGCAGGAAGAAGGCGCUACGCGUUGUAAACUGCUUUUAACCGGGAAGAAACCCCAGGACGUGUCCUGGGUUGACGGUACCGGAGGAAUAAGCCCCGGCUAACUUCGUGCCAGCAGCCGCGGUAAUACGAAGGGUGCAAGCGUUAUCCGGAUUCAUUGGGUUUAAAGGGUGCGUAGGCGGAGCGUUAAGUCAGUGGUGAAAUCCUGCAGCUUAACUGUAGACUUGCCAUUGAUACUGGCGCUCUUGAGUGCGCUUGAAGUGGGCGGAAUGUGCCGUGUAGCGGUGAAAUGCUUAGAUAUGGCACAGAACACCAAUUGCGAAGGCAGCUCACUAAGGCGAUACUGACGCUGAGGCACGAAAGCGUGGGGAUCGAACAGGAUUAGAUACCCGUGUAGUCC
rnacentral:rRNA from 1 species